UGCUAAGCAAAAUAAGCCAGAGAAAGACAAAUAUCCUAGGAUUUCACUCACAUACGGAAUUUAAGAAACAACAAAGACCAAUAAAGAGGUAAACCAAAAACAGACUUUAACUGUAGAGAACAAUCUGGUUACCAGAAGGGAGAUGGGUGGAAGGAUGAGUGAAACGGGUGAAGGGGAUCAAGGUUACAUUUAUCUUGAGCACACAGCAGUAUUUGGAAUUAUUGAAUCACUAUAUUUUACAUUUGAGACGAAUAUAACACUUAUGUUACACUGGCAUUAAAAUAAUUAGAAACAAAGGCCGGAUCUAAAGUAGAUUCUUCUAUUUCUUGACUUCCCCAGUUAAUGCCGCUAUGUAUUUGUGAUCUCUAUUCUGAGUGCCCUCCAAACAUCCGCCGCAGGCCACUGGCCAGGAGCACAGCGGCUGCGCCAGCGAGCGAGAGGUCGGGUCCGGGGGCGGGGCCUGGUUUCGGCUUCCGGCGGAAGAGCCAGGGAGCAAGAUGGCUCCCGCAAGACCGUGUUGUUCGUUGCCGAGCUAGCGUGGGUUUCUCUUGUGGCUCUGCCCCCUCAGCCUGUGAGCAGCGCCCGCGACUUGACGGCUCUGCUGGUCCUGGCGCUGCCCAGAGCCCUUUCCCUCUAUGAUCUUGGUCUCGGAGAGUUGUGUGGUCAGGUGAUGACUGGUUGAAGAAGUUUUCUGGGCAGACUCUUGAAGAGAAUAAAGAGGAAGGAGGGUCGGACGGAGCCUUCCAAAGUGGAAACCCAGGAGGGAGAUCCCACUGCGAAAAAGGCCUCAUCAAAUCCUCAGGUGUACAUGGACAUCAAGAUUGGGAACAAGCCAGCUGGCUGCAUCCAGAUGCUUCUGCGUUCAGACAUUGUCCCCAUGACAGCAGGUCCAAAUACUUGCUCAAGGCUUCAUGGUAAGAAGAGAAACCCCAGGAAAGCUCCCCUUUCAGCUUCCCAGAAGCUGUAGGACUCUGGACUUUGGGAGGAAAUGGGGACAAAACACAGCCCCGUCCUCAGUCCCCAGCAGAGGCCCCGGCUCCACAGGUCACCAAGUCACGGUAGGUCCCUGCACGCCAGGACUCCCACAGGCAGGGGAUUUUGUAAGUCCCUACCUCAUCCCUAGAGAUGACCAAAUUUAGAUUUUUUAGGAAAAGCUCAGCUUUAAAGUAGAUACAGCAGCACCUCCUGGACAUGUUCUGGAAGGAGGGGAUUUUAACAGGAAGGUUUUAACAGGGGAGGCCCAGAUACAUAAAUUCAUUUAAAGUAAGACCACUAGUAAAUGCUAUUCAUUCAGUACCCAUGCACGCACGGUGCUGAGUGCUUUGUGGACACACCAAAUCCCCACGAUGGCCUUGCAAGGGCAGUACUAAUACUCCAGAGGAAAAACUUCUAACUUAGAGGUGACAUAAUUUGGUGAAAUUAACAAGAGGCAGAGCCAGGAUUCUAUGCCAGGUCUACUGGCUCUAAAACCCACCAUAUCCUAUUCACAGCCUCCUUUCCUGUGAAAUUGCAGGGCAUUUCUUGAAGCAUGUUACCCAUUUCUUUACAUAGAGACACAAAAGAACAGGGCUUUGCCUGGUGAGCUGUCGUCCGGGCCAGUACCAUGCUCUGAUUGUGGAGGUGCACUGGGUGUGAGGCGCACAGAGCAGUUCCCCCUGCCCCCAGACUUGGCUGUUCCUCUGCAGCCUCCCUUCCUGGCAGCACUUACUUUGCUGUCAGUGGGCCUGAGCUGACCGCCCUUAUGUAUUCUAACGUGCAGCCUUGAACGUAACUUGGGGUAUCAGGCAACCAUAUAAAUAAGAUGGCUGCCCCUUUAUUGACUUUGCAUCCACAAUUCUCCCCCUUCUCCAAGGCCUUUUCUGGUUGGUUUCAAUUUGUUGGCUGGCUGGAGGUUCUAGAAGUCUGUCAGGAAGUCCAUGACCACUGUACUUUCAGCUUUAUUGCACAGAAAGGGAUUCAGAUCAUGAUACUUACAUUCCUAUUCGGCACACCCAGUGGACAAGGCAGUCUGCAUCUUUAAAACAUUCAUUCUACAAGCUUUCUUGGUAUCCCCAAAACAUGUCAGGUUAUGUGCUAGGUGUUGAGGAGACCAAAUACUGACAUUUGUUAAAAGUUUUCAAAACCUCCACUGCCAUUGAUACUGGGAGGAGAGAGCUGCUAAGGCCCCGAAGUGGUGGGUUUCAUGUCCUAUGUAUACAGCAGCUGGGCACUCAGGCUGUCUUUGCUCUGUGACAGAGGAGACAGCCAGCGUUUCAGGCAGGAAGUAGGCUUAUAUCCUUGUGUCACAGAUGAGGAACUGGAGCUUGAAUCAGGAAGGGAACUUAUCCUGACACCAAACCCAUCAGUGGCUGAGUUGGAACCAGAGUACAGGUCUCCCGACAUUCCAGCCACUUUGUGAUUCAGUCCCUUGCCAGCCAGAGCUCAAAGCCCCAGGCUAAUAGGGAACUCCCCACUUUGCAGACAGUCUGGGCCUGCCCUCUGUGUACACGGGGAGGGUCUCUUCCUCUGUACUUGCUCCACAGUCCCUUCCAGGUCCCCGUGGAGGGGCUGCUGUCCUGCAGCAGGGCCCCAGAUUCCUCAACUGCUGCCCCGCCUGCUGUCCUGGGGCCCCGCCUGCUGUCCUGGGGCCCCUCCUCAGGGUGCAGAGUGAUGGCAGAGAUGCGCAUCCUUGGGCACAGGGGUGGUUCUGCCUCGGCUGGGCUGUGCCUGUGGGUUGGGCGGGCCCAGGAUCUGCUUUUAAUGACACAGUAUUUCAGGGCUCGGGCAGCUGAACUCUGUCUGCUCCAGCAGGUAAAUUACAGGCUUAGCAAGUCAGAAAUCAAACAGACACUCCCAACUGACUAUGGCAGCUGCUCUGAGGAGAAUAACGAUUUUCGGGAACCUUCACCCAGGUCAGCCUAAUUACUGCCUGUCAUUCCCUUGGGACAGGGACCUUUGGUUCACAGGCCUCAAGAAACAGCACAGUGCUUCUGGGCACACAAUGUGGUAUAGACUGUUGAGCAGCCUGUUCUUAACUCCUCGGUUCUAGCAGACAGACAGUUCCCUCCUUGCCCUGUGCCUGGCCCGAGGUGGCCCAAGCACCAUGCUGUGGGUAGAAUGGGUUGCUCCUUAGUGUGGGGAAACUGAGUUCGCUUUGUGUCAGUGCUAAGCCUCACAUGGAAAAAAGGCAGGGGAAACUGGAAGCCCCCAAGGUUAUUUGCUUCUGGGUUGGGGUGGGGGCAUCAAACCACUUUCCCAAGGAGGGGAAGACAUAUGCCAUAAAACAUCCCUGUCACCCUCAGUCUUAGCAUGAGGCUCAACCAGCUCAUUCUUCUUCCAAUGUGCUGCCAGUGGGCCAAGUUAGGAGCCCAGUAAUGCACUACUGAGCACAACUGCAUCUCUGUGCCCUGGAAAUUCCCAGUGUGGUGCUUAUAAAGAGGGACAGACCCCCUUCUCCCCACUCAAAGCCCAGCCAGCUAAGCUCACACUCCAGAUGCUCCUCAGACAGGCCCGGGUCAGCUACAGUCUGGGUUGGGGAUGGCCAAGGACAGGUCCUAAGACAGGAUGUCUGAGCUGAAGACAGUGCAGUCAGCAUGCCUCGGAGGCUGCUGUGCACAUCAGGCCAGCCAGUCUGCAGACAUCGGGGGGAGGGGGCAGAGGGACCUGGGGAGACCCUGGCAGGGAUGGAAGUAGGGGUCCUUUCUGCCACCCCACCUGAGCUGUGAUGGCAUUUGAGGGUUUCCUGCGUCUGGAGAGGGGCCUGAUCCAGGCGGGAGGCUCUGCAGCAGCGGGGCCGGGCCUCAGUGGCAGCCACAGGCCCUGACCACCAUGUUGCGGUGCUUGCGCAGGAUGACAUUGUUGCUGCUGUCAUAGUAGAGCACGGAGGUGGCACUCAGCUUGGUGGGGGCACAGCACGCCUUGGGGACCGCGUCCGGCUUCAUCAGGUGCACCUGGCCAGGGGAGGGACGGCAGUCAGCUGUUUGCCAUCUGUCUCCCCUCCCAGCUGUGAGCCAGUGAACGAUCACAGAACAGGAGAGACCUAGAAUCCUAGGUCCAUCCUCGUGUUCAGUGCUGUUACUCCUCAAGGCACUUGCCACCCGAUAACAACUUCUAAGGCAACUACUGUUCUGGGCCGACCAA